rnacentral:rRNA from 1 species
UACGUAGGGUGCAAGCGUUGUCCGGAAUUAUUGGGCGUAAAGAGCUCGUAGGCGGUUCGUCGCGUCGGCUGUGAAAUCCCGAGGCUCAACCUCGGGUCUGCAGUCGAUACGGGCGGACUGGAGUUCGGCAGGGGAGACUGGAAUUCCUGGUGUAGCGGUGAAAUGCGCAGAUAUCAGGAGGAACACCGGUGGCGAAGGCAGCACUCUGGGACGUGACUGACGCUGAGACGCGAAAGCGUGGGGAGCAAACAGG